GAGGCGCGAAAUUUGACAGCGAGAGGAACGGCCGGAUACAGGAGACGGGAAGAAACAAGCCGAUUAUGUUCGCGUUAAUUAAGUGGUUGGAAGAUGUAAAAUUCUCAAUUCUGCCAACUGAACAUAUACGAGAUUUUAAUGAGGAUGAAUAAUUAGCCGGCAUGGAGGAAACGGACCUUUAUUUCGUGGAGUGGCGACAAGAAGCCAAGGCGGGUGGCCAGUCUAAGAAGCCUCCAUCAUCAAGCUAGCAGAAAUCCUACCUCUCCUUCUGGCUACAGAGUACUUACCAAGCCCAUGAAAUCGAAUGCAGAUCUUCCUAAUGUGAGAUUUACAUAAAUAUGUCAAAGUCUCAACCUCAUGCUGCCCUCCCCCAUCCUCCUAAAGUAAGUAUUUGUUGUUGUAGUUUUUUAUGCAG